UUGUUCCUACGGGACGCAGCAGUGGGGAAUAUUGCACAAUGGGGGAAACCCUGAUGCAGCGACGCCGCGUGAGUGAAGAAGUAGCUCGGUACGUAAAUCUCUAUCAGCAGGGAAGAAAAUGACGGUACCUGACUAAGAAGCCCCGGCUAACUACGUGCCAGCAGCCGCGGUAAUACGUAGGGGGCAAGCGUUAUCCGGAUUUACUGGGUGUAAAGGGAGCGUAGACGGCAGCAAAAGUCUGGAGUGAAAUCCCGGGGCUUAACCCCGGAACUGCUUUGGAAACUGGGGGGCUGGAGUGCAGGAGG
rnacentral:rRNA from 1 species